rnacentral:tRNA from 1 species
UGGUGGCUCAGUGGUAAGCAUUUGGCUUCUAACCAAAAGGUCUGCAGUUCAAAUCCACCAGCCA